UCUUGCGCAAUGGGCGAAAGCCUGACGCAGCGACGCCGCGUGUGCGAUGAAGGCCCUCGGGUCGUAAAGCACUGUCGCGAGGGAAGAAACCGAAAGGUUGACGGUACCUCGAAAGGAAGCACCGGCUAACUCUGUGCCAGCAGCCGCGGUAAUACAGAGGGUGCGAGCGUUGUUCGGAAUUAUUGGGCGUAAAGCGCGAGUAGGCGGUUUCCUAAGUCGUCUGUGAAAGCCCCCGGCUCAACCGGGGAAGUGCGGGCGAAACUGGGUGACUUGAGUCCUGGAGAGGGUCGCGGAAUUCCCGGUGUAGAGGUGAGAUUCGUAGAUAUUGGGAGGAACACCAGUGGCGAAGGCGACUACCUGGACGAAAACUGACGCUGAUGCACGAAAGCUAGGGGAGCAAAC
rnacentral:rRNA from 1 species